rnacentral:rRNA from 1 species
AUUGAACGCUGGCGGUAUGCUUUACACAUGCAAGUCGAGCGGCAGCACGGUGACAACUCUGGUGGCGAGGGGCGAACGGGCGAGUAAUACAUCGGAACAUGCGCAUCUGCGGUUGAUAGCACGUUGACGGAAGGGAUAAUACCGCAUACGCCCAUAGGGCGUACGCGGGAGAUCGCAAGACCUUGGGCGAUUGCAGGGUUCGAUGUCCGAUUAGCUAGUUGGUGGGGUAAAGGCCUACCAAGGCAACGAUCUGUAGCUGGUCUGAGAGGAUGAUCAGCCACACUGGAACUGAGACACGGUCCAGACUCCUACGGGAGGCAGCAGUGGGGAAUUUUGGACAAUGGGGGCAAGCCUGAUCCAGCCAUACCGCGUGAGUGAAGAAGGCCUUCGGGUUGUAAAGCUCUUUUGGCAGGAAAGAAACGCAGAACGCUAAUAUAGCGCGGUACUGACGGUACCUAAAGAAUAAGCACCGGCUAACUUCGUG